UUCCUCCGAUUUGCGCUCGCCGAUUCAUUUGAAGAAGGAUAUGGCCGUUGACUGCUGGUGCUUCCCUUCCCCGGGCAUUCAGAUCAGCCAUGACUUGGGAUAGUACUUCUAUCCAGCAAGCAGAGUUUUGGAUGUGAGCUCCAGCUCAAGCAGAGCAUCAAAAACAGGGGCUCUAUCUGCUAAUGGGGUAGCCAGAAAUGCAGUCUAAGAGAUACAUCUCGUGUGAUUUCUGGAUAUGAGAACUUGAGAAGAACAAGCUUGAUGCUAUUAUUGGAAAAAAUAAUCUACUCUACAGGAUUCUUCUUUGCAUCCCAUACACAUAGACGGAGUGGGAGGCUGCCGCAGCGGUGCUGGACUUGGAGCCCAAGCCAUCCGCUGCCGCCAACAGGUGCUGACAGUAUGAUGCCUUCAGAAUUGGCUCUCAGAACUUUCAACCAAGAUUAGAGCUAGCAUACAGUUUGCAGUUUAUAGUCGUACUCAUACUCAAUGAGUCCCUACCUCGGCUUCUAGGCAAGAUAUUCUUUAAUUUUAGUUGAUUAGCAACCAGUAUUGUUCAGGAAUUUUGAGUGGCACACAUCCUGGUCUGGUGAGCCGAUGACCAGACAUCAUUUGUCAAGGAAGCAAAAAGGACUACACUCACAAGGAACCAUGAAGCCAACGAUCCACGUCAACUAGAUGUUUUAGCUUUCAUUUUGUACAACUGAUGUCUCAUACUUGCAUCUUUUGGUUGUCCUUUUGUAAACCUGAUUAUGGUUUCUUGGUGGUUUUGUUUAGAACAGGUUGAAGUGUAUGUAUGUGGCAAUUAGUUAAUGGAAUAAAAAAUGUUUGGUGCUCC